rnacentral:rRNA from 1 species
AGAGUUUGAUCCUGGCUCAGAAUCAACGCUGGCGGCGUGCCUAACACAUGCAAGUCGAACGCGACUGAGGACUUCGGUUUUCAGUUGAGUGGCGAACGGGUGAGUAACACGUGGGUGAUCUACCUCUGAGUGGGGGAUAACGUUCCGAAAGGAGCGCUAAUACCGCAUGACGUGCCGGGUUUGAAGACCUGGCCACCAAAGUCGGGGACCGCAAGGCCUGACGCUUGGGGAGGAGCCCGCGCCUGAUUAGCUAGUUGGUGGGGUAAUGGCCUACCAAGGCGACGAUCAGUAGCCGGCCUGAGAGGGCGGACGGCCACACUGGGACUGAGACACGGCCCAGACUCCUACGGGAGGCAGCAGUGGGGAAUUGUUCGCAAUGGGCGCAAGCCUGACGACGCAACGCCGCGUGGAGGAUGAAGGUCUUCGGAUUGUAAACUCCUGUUGAUCGGGACGAAUGGCCCUGGAGUGAAUAGCUCGAGGGAGUGACGGUACCGAUUGAGGAAGCCACGGCUAACUCUGUGCCAGCAGCCGCGGUAAUACAGAGGUGGCAAGCGUUGUUCGGAAUUACUGGGCGUAAAGGGCGCGUAGGCGGUCGCCUCAGUCGGACGUGAAAUCCCCAAGCUUAACUUGGCCUGCGUCCGAUACUGGGUGACUUGAGUUCGGGAGAGGAAUGUGGAAUUCCAGGUGUAGCGGUGAAAUGCGUAGAUAUCUGGAGGAACACCGGUGGCGAAGGCGGCAUUCUGGACCGAAACUGNNNCGAGGCCGAAAGCCAGGGGANNAAACGGGAUUAGAUACCCUAGUAGUCC